rnacentral:rRNA from 1 species
CAGCAGCCACGGGAAUACAGAGGGUGCGAGCGUUAAUCGGAUUUACUGGGCGUAAAGCGUGCGUAGGCGGCUUCUUAAGUCGGAUGUGAAAUCCCUGAGCUUAACUUAGGAAUUGCAUUCGAUACUGGGAAGCUAGAGUAUGGGAGAGGAUGGUAGAAUUCCAUGUGUAGCGGUGAAAUGCAUAGAGAUCUGGAGGAAUACCGAUGGCGAAGGCAGCCAUCUGGCCUAAUACUGACGCUGAGGUACGAAAGCAUGGGGAGCAAACAGGAUUAGAUACCCCUGUAGUCCCUGUCUCUUAUAC